rnacentral:rRNA from 1 species
AUUGAACGCUGGCGGCAUGCUUUACACAUGCAAGUCGAACGGUAACAGGUCUUCGGAUGCUGACGAGUGGCGAACGGGUGAGUAAUACAUCGGAACGUGCCUAGUAGUGGGGGAUAACUACUCGAAAGAGUAGCUAAUACCGCAUGAGAUCUACGGAUGAAAGCAGGGGACCUUCGGGCCUUGUGCUACUAGAGCGGCUGAUGGCAGAUUAGGUAGUUGGUGGGGUAAAGGCUUACCAAGCCUGCGAUCUGUAGCUGGUCUGAGAGGACGACCAGCCACACUGGGGCUGAGACACGGCCCAGACUCCUACGGGAGGCAGCAGUGGGGAAUUUUGGACAAUGGGCGAAAGCCUGAUCCAGCAAUGCCGCGUGCAGGAUGAAGGCCCUCGGGUUGUAAACUGCUUUUGUACGGAACGAAAAGCCUGGGGCUAAUAUCCCCGGGUCAUGACGGUACCGUAAGAAUAAGCACCGGCUAACUACGUG